GUUUUAAUAGUUUAAAAAAAACAAUGAUUUUGUAAAUCAUAAUUAGGAAUAUACCUUUAAAACU
rnacentral:tRNA from 1 species